CUUGUCAGGACAGAACACAGACCACUCAUCAUGAAGUUUGGACUCAGCUGGGUUGUCAUUGUUGCUCUUUUAACAGGUGUUCAGUGUGAAGUGCAGCUGGUGGAAUAUGGGGGAGGCUUUGUGAAGCCUGGUGGGUCUCUGAGACUCUCCUGUGCAGCCUCUGGAUUCACCUUCAGUAGCUACUGGAUGAGCUGCGUCCACCAGGCUCCUGGAAAGGGGCUGGAGUGGGUCUCAGCAAUUAAUACUGGUGGUGGUAGCACAUACUAUGCCAUCUCUGUGAAAGGCUGAUUCACCAUCUC